rnacentral:rRNA from 1 species
UAGGGAAUCUUCCACAAUGGGCGCAAGCCUGAUGGAGCAACACCGCGUGAGUGAAGAAGGGUUUCGGCUCGUAAAGUUCUGUUGUUAAAGAAGAACACGUAUGAGAGUAACUGUUCAUACGUUGACGGUAUUUAACCAGAAAGCCACGGCUAACUACGUGCCAG